CCGUGGAUUUGGUUAGCUAUAAAACCUAUCAACAAACUAUAUAUAUAUAUAGAGAGAGAGAGAGAGAGACUGGAUUUCGGUUGAUCAGAUCUUAGUUCAAAUCCGGUCAGCUCUCUAUCCCUUGAACCGGUGCGCAUCUCAAAGUAUGGAGGAAUGGCUAAUAAAAGGCAUGAGUUACCAUCUGGCUGACAUGGCUUUGUUUGAAAAAAAAGAGAACUGAGCUUUGAAUAGGACGCGACAUAAGAGAGAAGAGAUAGAAAAAAAGGAUACGUGUGGCUUUUUAUCGCAUCCCAUUCAAAGCUGAACUUCCUUUUUUAGCCAUUCUCCCAUACUUUGAGAUACGCAUCGAUCCAAAAGACAGAAAGUUGACCGGAUUUGGACUGGGAUCCGAUCAAUCAGAACCCAGUCUAUCUCUUUCUCUCUCUAUAUAUAUACUGCAGGGAUCAUUCAAUGUAUAACCUCUCCCUCUUUGAUGAAAUGUGAUCAACUAGGUGGUCAAAUGAUUCACAUAUGCAUACUAAAAUUUAUAAAAUUUUUAAAAUAAAUUAUAAAAAUCCUCUAAAAUUAGGGGUAAGCUAUAUUUAGGUCCAAUAAUUUGAAAAACUUAUAUUUAUUUUUAUUUUUAUUUAAUAUUUUUUUAAAUAAAAAAUAUCUAAUAUUGUAACCUAUAACAGAAUGUUAGUUAAACCGUUAAUCUUAAAUUGACUCAGUUGCCAUAUUUUUUGAAAAAAAAUGAUCAAAAUAAAACAUAUGUGUAUCUUGCUCCCUAUCUAAGGUUAGUUUUAUCUUUUUAUAUGAGAUAAACAGAUUCACUAAUGUCAUUAAUUUAGUUGGAUGCAAGCGUGAAUUUGAUGGAUAUAAAUAUAACAAACAGAAAUCUCAGAGAAAUGUUUAUAAUUUAUCAAAUUUAUAAACUAAUUUUGAAAUUUUUUGGGUGACUAUUGCUCACUUUAGGUGAUCCACUACCACAAGCACCACUUCUUUGCUUGCUUUUCACGUAGUACAUUGAUGUCUAAUUUUUUUAAUCUUUUCUAUUUCUAUAGAUGCUCAUUGUGCCACAAAUACGUUAUCUUCACGUAAAAACAUGACAAUAGUUUCCUCUUAGAUUUGAACUAUUCCAUUUUAAAAUCAUUCUUGAACGCUUAAACAUUUGGCUAUUAUCAUUAAAAAAAAAAAAACUUACAAAUUACAAUAGGAUUUUGGGCCUUUGGCUUCCUUGGGCCUAACAUAUAAUACAAGAUGAUCAGACGGCGAAGUUAAAAAAACAAUUUGCAACAGGCAAUUUCUAGAGCUCAACAUGUAUCAUGUGAUGAAACAUGUCACGUUCAUCACUGUCCGCAUUCCGAUGGGCCCGAAUGAAUCAAAGCCACAAAUUAAUUCAAAUAUUUGAAAUGUCAUUAAAGCACCUAACAACCGCCAAUCUAAUACUCGUCUCAUUGUGGCCCACCUGCACUGCACAUUAGUAAGGUUGGUAUUAGGCCUUAUAAGAGCCUAACAAGCCAAGAUCCAUUUUAGCAUCCGGACUGGCCCAACUUGCCGCUCGAUCUUGGCAACAGAUUCAUAACUUUGCGGAGAUCAGAAAUAGAAUAAUUCGCAAGAUAUAUAUAAGAAAGAUAAAUUUAAAGAACUAAUAUAUAAUAAAUUAUAUUAUAAAGAUAUAUAUACAAAAAAUUAUUUUUUAAAAGAAUUAUGAUAAGAUUUUUUUACACCCACCCCACACCCCUGAAAAAUAAAACUACGAUAAGGUUGGACUGUCAAGUAUGAACUUUAUUACUACUUGCUUAUAUUAACAGCAAAAUUAAUCAACUUUAUCAUUGUCGUUGUUGGAAUAAGUCAAUCGAUCUCCGAUUCUGACUCUAUAUCGAUCGUAUAAAUAUAUUACGCCGACUCACGAUCGGUGAACCAAUCUACUGUCGGCUACUAUCAAUCAUCAACUAACAAUUUGAUUAACCUCCAACCGAAGAUCAUCAACAUAUCAGAGUUACCAGCCGAUGCUCAUUCGAAUUUACUACCGACUUAUCAGUAUUACCGAUAUAUAGUCGGUCUAUCUGCUCAACAUAUCCUAACCGUUAUGAAUGAUUAUCGACUAUGUGUCAGGCUAUUAACGAGAAUAAACAGCUCACUAAAUCUACGAUUAUGGCCCGAUAAUUUAGCAUCAUAAAAAGUGAGACCAUGUGCUCGAUAAUUACAUCAGAAUCAUCUAUAAAAGGAGAAGUAAAUGAGCAGCACGGAUAAGACAAUUCUGGACUAAGACUCUGCCACUCUAAACAUUCUUAUCUGCUGUUCACCAACCCCCUCUCUGACUUAAGCAUCGGAAGAUCUCCGUUGGACACAACUCCGGUCUAUGAGGACUUUAUCUUGCAGGUGCUCUUCACCGACGACAGACGACAGGAGAUUGGCCGUAAUAGAUUGGCACACCAGGAAGGGGACAAACUACAGUCAACCAUGCCAAGAACCAGAGCACAACAUUCGACUGGAUCGGUGAGGAAGUCUUCCCAUCGGGAAGAUAUUCCUCUCCCACCUCUGGUAGUAGAGCUUAGUUCUUCACAUCCUGUGGUCACUACGGACACGCAGAUUACUGCACUUAUACAGCAAAUAAAGAUUUUGAUGGAGGCGGUUCAAAGCCUCCAGCAGCAGCAGCAGUCGCCGAUGGAGCAACCAGUGGCUCAGUCAGUGCCAUUCAAGCACAGCCACCAUCCUCCACGGCACUCAUCCUCCUCAUUUUCGGAACGAUCGUCUCGACACUCUCAUCAAGACAGGCAACCAUAUUCUCGAUACUCUCAUCGUGCCACCCAUCAUUCGCGGCGUUCUCCCUCAUCUUCUCAUGCACACAGUAUCAAGAAGGAGAAACGGCCAUGGACACCUUCUGCUUCUCCUUCUUCGAGCUCUUUAGGGGGUUCCAAUUUUGAAGUUUUCCAAUGAUGGCUUGAUGACUAUGAAUGCAAGUUCAGAGAAAUCGAUCGUCAGCUCGUCUGACUUCAGGUGGAAGGUCGGAAGUCUUUCAACGACUAUGACUUCCACACUACCCAGCCUCUCUCUCGGUGCAUCUUGGAUGAAUCGAUUCUCUUUCAGUUCAAGAUACCGCAGAUAGAGUCGUACGAUGGCUCCACCGAUCCGAUCGACCAUCUCGAGAGCUAUAAGGCUCUCAUGAUGAUUCAGGGGGCAACCGAUGUCCUCUUAUGUAUUGGCUUUCCGGCAACUCUUCGGAAGGCUGCUCGAGCCUGGUAUUCCAAGUUUCAGUCAGAGAGCAUUAACUCUUUCGAGCAGCUCGAGCAUUCUUUAAUGGCCCACUUCAGUACUAGCCGAAGAUCGUCACAGAAAUCCGACAGUCUCUUCUCAAUCAAGUAAGGUGAGACAGAGACAUUGAGAGAUUUUAUGACUCGUUUCAAUACAGCUACACUUGAGGUCAGAGAUUUCAACGAAAACAUGGCUAUAUCGAUCAUAAAAAGGGAUCCGAGGGAAUCCAGAUUUACUUACUUUCUAGACAAAACUCUCUCUCGAACUUAUGUCGAACUUCUGGAAUGCGUGUAUAAGUAUAUUCGUACGGAUGAAGCUGCUUCUGACCGACGCCAAACAGACGUAAAAGGUCAGAAGAAGAAACAAAAGAAAAGUAAAGCUCCGACUGAAUCAAGUAGGACGACUGUCAACAAGCGAGCUUCACCUCGACGAUGAAGUCCGAAGCCAAAUAACUAUGGCAAGUAUGACUCCUACACUCCUCUCUCUGCUCUCCGUGCAUAGAUCCUGAUGGAAAUUGAAGGAGAGGAGUACUUAUGACACCCCCCACCAAUGAAAAUACUAUCGAGAAGUAGAGAUAGGAAGAAGUAUUGUCGAUUCCAUCAUGAUCACGGUCAUAAUACCGAACAGUGCAUCCAGCUCAGGGACGAGAUAGAGGCCCCGAUUCGAUGAGGCUACCUCAGAAAAUUUCGAUGUGAUCGCUUAACUCAACCUCCCACCGACCAACAACCUCCGUCGCAAGCUGAAGAGACACUCGACAAUCGACCAAUGAUGGGAGUAAUCAACAUAAUCUCCAGACGAUAGAAGAAUCAGGGGGCAACUUUCAAAGAAGAGUCGGUGAAGAAACGAUGACUCGACAAUGUAAUUAUCUUUUCGGAAGAUGAUGUUCGAAGAAUAUAAAAUUUUCAUGAUGAUGCUGUCAUUGUUUCAGCAAUGAUAGCUAAUUAUGAUAUAAAAAAAAUCUUAGUGGAUAAUGAAAGCUCGAUGAAUAUUUUGUUUUACUCAAUUUUUUCUCGAAUACGACUACCGACUGAUGACUUAGAAGAGUCUCGAUGCCAUUUAUCGAUUUCACAGGAGACGCAGUUACUAUAGAAGGAGAAAUCACUCUUCCAUUAAUCGCAGAAAUUGAACCAUAAUAGAGUACUAUUUUUGUGACAUUCACAAUUGUUCGAGUUCCCUCGGCUUAUAAUACCAUACUCGGACAAUCUAGACUGAAUGCUCUGAGAGCAAUAGUUUCGACUUAUCAUUAUUAGUCCGAUUUUUGAUAAGAAAUAGAGUUGGAGAGAUACAUGGAGAUCAACAAUUUAUCUGAUGCUGCUUUCUAGUUUCCAUACAAAAUAAUCAACCUGAAGACUCUUUGUCUGUCGAUAAAUUGGACCAAAGAGAAAAUAAAGAGAGGGGUGAGCCAGCCAAACAAUUGAUUUCCAUCCCGCUAAAAGAAGAAGAUCCUGAGAAGAUGGUCCAAAUUAGAUCGCAGCUGUCUGAUCCGGAGCGACAACAACUAAUAAAUCUACUUAGGAUAAAUACCGAUAUUUUUACUUGGUCGGCUACUGAUAUGCCAAGUAUUCUUUCGAAAGUAAUAACCUAUCAGCUAAACAUUGACCCAAAGAUUUAGUCAGUGAGACAAAAGAAAAGGCUAUUUGCUCCUGAAAGGCAGAAGGUCAUCGACGAAGAGGUUGACAAGCUCCUCGCAGCUGACUUCAUUAGAGAAGCUACUUAUCCCGAUUGGCUUGCCAAUGUAGUGAUAGUGAGAAAGGCCAAUGAAAAAUAGAAAAUCUAUAUCGACUACACAAAUCUAAAUGAAUCUUAUCGGAAGGACAGUUUCUCUUUGUCGAAGAUUGAUCAACUAGUUGAUGCUACUUUAGGGCACCGACUCUUAAGUUUCAUGGAUGCCUUUGUAGGCUAUAAUCAGAUUUGGAUGGCAUCCAAAGAUGAGGAGCACAUAGCCUUCGUAACUGACAAAGGCAUCUACUGCUAUAAAGUAAUGCCUUUCAGUUUAAAAAAUACUGGAGCCAUAUAUCAACGUCUAGUCAGUAAAAUCUUCAAGAUAUAGAUCGGGUGAAAUAUGAAAGUAUAUAUGGAUGACAUGCUGGUGAAAAGCCCUCAAACUACUGACCAUAUUCGAGAUAUAGAAGAAGUCUUUAGCACACUUCGAUGAUAUUAGAUGAAGUUGAACCCGACAAAAUAUGCGUUUGGAGUAACUUUUGAAAAGUUUCUCGAAUUUCUUGUGUCCCAACGAAGAAUCGAAGUCCAUCUCAAAAAAAUAAAGGCUAUCAUCAAUAUGAAGCAUCCUAGUUCCAAGAAAGAGAUACAGUAGCUCAAUGGAAGGAUCGCUGCACUCAGUCGAUUUAUAUCAAAGUCGGCAAAAAAAUGCUUGCCUUUCUUCAAAACCUUGAGACAAUCAAAUGACUUCAUAUGGUCAGACGAAUGUCGACAAUCCUUUGAAGACCUAAAAAGAUAUUUAACAUCUCCACUGCUGCUUACAAAAUCAAAGAUUGGAGAAACUUUGUAUCUCUACUUGGCAACAUCGAUGGAAGCAGUUAGUUCGGUGCUUGUCCAAGAGAAUGAAAAUCAAAUUCAAUGAUCAAUCUACUACAUUAGCAAGAUGCUUCAUAAUGCUGAAGUGAGAUAUUCAAGAGUGGAGAAGAUGAUCUAUGCUUUAAUCAUAUCAUCACAGCGACUUCGUUUAUACUUCCAAGCACAUUCUAUUAUUGUCUUGAUGGAUCAGCUGUUGAAGGCAAUCUUGCAUCGACCUGAUACAUCGGAUCGAAUGACAAAGUGGAUGAUAAAGUUCGAUGAAUUUGAUAUACAAUAUCAUCCACAUCCAUCAAUGAAGGCAUAAAUUUUGGCCGACUUCGUCGUCGAAUGUAUAGUACCGGAUAAUAAUCCCGAGGAUAAAGUUAAUGACAAAAUAAAAUAGGCCGUGAUUUCCAAGCCCGACUUAAUGUAGGUAUGGGUGCUACAUAUUGAUGGAGCAUCUAAUGCAUAGAGCAGUGGAGCUGGACUCAUCCUCACCAAUUCUUAAGGGGUUAUUACUGAAUAUGCCCCUCGAUUCAACUUUAAAGCUUCGAAUAACCAAGCCGAAUAUGAAGCACUCUUAGCCGGCUUAAAAAUUACUAAAGAGCUUGAUAUCGACAGCCUGAAGAUCUUCAUCGACUCAUAAUUGAUUGCUGGAUAGGUUAAGGAUGAGUUUGAAGCCUGAGACUCCAUUAUGAUGAAGUAUCUUCAGAAGGUGAAAGAUCUCACAUCAACUUUAAAAUAUUUUGAAAUCUUUCAUAUCCCGAGGACAGAAAAUAUUCGAGCCAACGCACUUUCGCGACUCGCAACCACCUUUUUCAACUCGCUGGAUCGGAUAUUCGUCGAAUGUCUUGAACAGUCGAGUAUUGAUAAAGUCGAGAAAGUGCUACAAAUCACUGAUGAGCCAAGCUGGAUGGAUCUUAUUAUCCAGUACAUGACUGAUGAAACUCUUCUUAUGGAUCCCUUAGAAGCCAAACGAUUCAGAUGGACGACCUCAUAAUACAUUUUGAUGAAUGGUCAAUUAUAUAAGAGGUCGUUCUCUCUUCUCUUACUGAAGUAUUUGGGAUCAAUAGAUGCCGACUAUGCACUCAGAGAAGUUCACGAAGGGAUUUGUGAAAAUCACUUGGAGAUAAAUCACUGGCUUAUAAAGUCCUUCGAUAAGGAUAUUAUUGACCCAUCAUAAAGAAAAAUAUAGUCGAACUUGUCCGAAAGUGUGAACUAUGUCAGAAAUAUGCAAAUAUACAACAUCAACUGGCCAGUCAGUUGACAUCAAUUAUUGUACCAUGGCCCUUCGAACAAUGGAGAGUUGAUAUUCUUGGUCUUCUUCCUCCGAUAUUUGAUCAGAGAAAGUUUAUAGUGGUCGCCAUCGAUUACUUCACCAAGUGGGUAGAAGCUGAACCUCUGGCACAAAUCACUAAAAAUAAGAUGGAAGACUUCAUUCAAAAAUUAAUCAUAUGCAGAUUCGAUCUACCACACACCAUCAUCACUGACAAUGAUCAGUAAUUCGACAAUCAGAACUUCAAAGAGUUCUGUGCAAAAUUUUACAUUACGCACAAGCUCACAAUAGUCGGCCAUUCACAAUCCAAUGGAAAAGUGAAAGUAACAAAUCAAACAAUUCUGCAUGGACUCAAGACCAGAUUGAAUGAAGCUAAAAAUCUCUGAGUGAAAGAAUUAUAUUCGAUCUUAUAGACAUACCAAAUGAAUCUUCGUAUACCAAUGGGAGAAUCGUCAUUUAAUCCGACUUAUAGAACAGAAGCGAUGAUCCCACUUGAGAUCGGAUUACCAUCAGUAAGGGUAGAACAAUACAGUGAGCCGAGUAAUUUAGAAUAUCGGAGAGCUGAUCUAGAUCUAUUUUCAAAAAUUCGAUAACAAGCUCAACUUCGGAUGACAGCAUAUCGGCAAAGAAUAGUCCGAUAUUAUAAUGCAAAAGUUAAGCCAAAGAUUUUCUGUCCAGGAGACCUGAUCCUAAGGAAAACUAAAGUUUCAAGAUCUUUGGAUCAAGAAAAAUUAUCUCUGAAUUGGGAAGGAUCUUACAGAAUAACCGAAAUACUUAGACCGAAUGCACAUUGAUUGGAAACUCUUGAGGGAGCAGCUAUUCCUCGAACAUGGAAUGCUAACAACUUAAAGAUGUAUUAUCAAUAAAGCUGUUCAUAUGUACAAUAUUCAGAAUGAAAUAUUAAAUUUCAGAAUCACAAAAGCAUCAGCCAAUUACAAAGUGAGUUUAGACCAAUAAAUGGACGGUCAAUUUCUAUCGACUAUAUUUCAGUUUUUCACUGUAAAAACCGACAUAUCGACUAUAUUUCGACUUUCACUGUAAAAGUUAAAUAUCGAUUAUAUGUCAAUACUGACUAUAUCUCAAUUUUCUAUUGAAAAAGCUGACUCUAGUUGAAUAACUAUUAUGUCGACUUAGUUCUAAUUAAGUGAAAUACUAUGCCAAUACGACUCAGAUCGAAUUGAAACUAUAUCGACUUGACUACAAUCGAUCGAAAGAUAUUCGGCUUGUCACUGAUUAUCAAAUAAUCAGACGUACUGACCUAACUACGAUCGGUCGAAGGAUAUUUGACUUAUCAUCAUUUAUCCAAAUACCUAAAGGGUAAAGUAUGUCUAUUAACAUUCAACUAACAGAGGAAUUCUACAAGUAUGUUCAGUUUGCCGAUCGAUAUUCGGUAGUUAAAUAGUAAUGCUACGAUAUUGCAACACAGAAAAGAGAGUUGGUACUUAUUUUUUUUUUUCAUUCAUUCAUUAAAAAAAGAUUACAAAAUUGGAUCGUAGUCCGAUUACAAAAAUUUUUAAUUACAAAAAAAGAUAAAAAUACUACACCGAUCAUCAGUCGUCGCCAUCUCCUUGCUUCGGUGCAGCAUCGAUGGCUGGAACAUCUUUUGGUGAAGUCGGUGCAUCGUCUUCAGCAGUCGGUGCAGUGUCUUCAAUCAGUGCAGCUUCUUCUUCGACAGCUCCAUCUUCCGAAACAAGAGGGAUGAUGCUGCUCAAGUCCAAAUCUAGGUACAGCUUUUCGAUCACAUCCCGACCGUCCUUGUAUCCGACACAAUAAGAAGUGAACCCACCUUUGAGGAUUUCUUUUUUAAACUCUUUAGAGUUCUUGAAGUUUUCAAUGGUGUGGUUCAAAGCUUCCCUUGCCAACUCUGCUUCCGCUCUCGCUAACUCUGCAUUAGCUCUUACGGAAGCUGACUCAUUGUCGGCCAGUGCCAACCUUUCCAGAAUGGCUCGAUGUCUUUCACGUUCGACUUCAAGUUUUUCAAUGCAACCAUCAUGUUCUUAUCGAAGUCGGUGAAUAGAAUGCUUCUUGCUCUUGACUCGCGACUCAAGAGACAAGACGUUUUGAUGAGCCGACUCAAGUUUGGCUCCAGAAGAUUAAAGAUCAGCAAUCAGUCGGGAGACUUCUUCCCGAAGAUUUGCCUCUCGCUCAAUCACCACCUGGAGUUGCUCGAGGACAGCCGUCUUCUUAGCAUUGGUGGCUGCCACUCUAUCCAUCCAUGCCCGACGGAAGUCUGCAAUCUUUCGAUAACCGACCUUUAGGUCAUGCAUGUCAUGUGCCUACUGAAAACAAAAAACGAACCAAGUUAGAUCAGAUCAGAUAAAUAUAUAUAUAUAUAUAUAUAUAUAUAUAUAUAUAUAUAUNNNNNNNNNNNNNNNNNNNNNNNNNNNNNGGGUAGAAAGAAGCGAACAUUUCGGCUACAGUUCGGUUCUUUCUGUUCUCUCGAUCAAUCGGGAGAAGAGUAGCUUGGAUGAGCUGCUUGGCCAAUGUCGGAUUGAUCAAGACCGACUCACCCUUAAAAACUCAAAUGUCAAACAGAAUCGAGUGGCCUGCCGACGAUCCAUCAUCUGCCGAAGUUGCCAACGCCUUCCCUCGAUCUCUUGUCAGCAGUCCUGCACUUGAGAAUAUAGGAAAAUCGGAGCUCGACUGCCCCCGUGAUGGUUCUGUUGGAGGAACGACCAGCGCAGCAGUCGAUUGCUCGAUCACGACCUCCGCCACGGUCUGAACUUCAACUGGUGGAGUUGCCGAUAGUACUGCUGCAACUCCAUCUUCUUCCGCCAUCCCAGCUUCAGCAGACGGUACCUCUCGAAGCAUUGUCGGGGCCGACAACGUCAAAAUCGGCUCAGGAACCAAUGCCGAUGGUGCAUCAGAUUUCCUCGUUGGUACUGAUGAAGGAGCUGCCUGACCCCUUUUCGACGGUCGGGAGGGUCUAGCUUCGGAUGCUGCCUUCUUCUUGGCAAUAUACUGACGAAUAUUGACGGUCGAUACUCGUGUCCUCGGCUACAUAGCUGCAAUCAGAAUAAAAAAAUCAGUAUAGUUCAGAAAUAAAUAAAAGAAAAAUGAAAGUGAUCAACUAAGAUAUACCUAAGGAAGUGAUCGAACUAAGAUCGACAUCGUAGAGAGCUUGUUCGAUCAUCAGCUUUCUUUACGGUGGUACUGUCAUAUCCUUCAGUCUGUGAAAAUCUUUCCGAUCGUCGACCUCCACCCGACUAUUUUCGUUGGGGUCAGUCCUUGGAUCACCCCAGCAUGAAAGAAAGCCCCAGGGAAGAGAAGAGGAAGUAAAAAAGAAUUGGUUCUUCCAUCCAUGAAUGGAUGAUGGAAGAUCGAUGAUGAAGGAAAGAUCUUUUCUUGAGUUGAAGAACCACCAACCCUUGACCUUAAGAUGGGAAUGAAGAACAAAGAAGGUGCGGAAAAGAGAAGGAUGAGAUUCAGUCAGUAUUAACCGACACAGCAAAGAAAAACUAAUUAUCAGUCGGACCAAAUUUAGUGCCAGCUGAGCAAGGCAAAGACCAUAAUAGUCAAGCAAAUUUUGGACGAACUCUGAAAUCGAAAAUCGAAGACCGAUCUGAAAAUCUUUGACAUAGAAGGCAACCUGACCCGGAGGAGGGGAGUUCACCCAACCAUUAAAGCCAGGAGCGAACAGUUGAUAUUGCUCUGAGAUACGAUAUUAUUUUCAGAGCCGCUCAACAUUAGGUCCAAACAGGGAAGAUGCUUUCACUUUCGGAUCCAAAGGAGAUUCGUCGGUCGGAUUCUCCGACCGACUAGAAGAAACCCUAGCCAUAAAAGGAGGAAAACUAAAGAAAACUCUAAAAUAAAAAGGAGAGAUGAAUUCAAAGGAUGAAAAAUUGGAUCUGAAAGCUAAAAAGAAAGUGGAGAAGGGACCCUGGAGCUCACUAGUAUUGGGGUGACCUUCCGACAGCGCUACUGCAGAGAGAAUGGUGAUAAAAUACAAAGUAAAAGUUUGGCUGAAAGCGAUCAUAUAUAUAUAUGAUCCAUCAAUGAUUCAGAUGAAGGUGGUCGAAUCGAAAUCUCAUCAGAUGAUGAUACGUGGCAACAUCCGGACCAACCAUUGGUCGGACGGUUCAAUGCACCUACUCCUGAUCAUGCCACCUUACCGUCAUCCGCGUGAACAGCUCUGACCUAAUGAUAUUCAGACAUGUGGCCAAGAUCUACUAGUCAGAAUCGUAUCAUCCGAUGCCGAACUAUUUUUCUGAAAUGACGUCCGGUACCAAAUUAUCCUGUCGAAAUGACAGCCCAAUAAUGAUUUUGUAGCUACUGAAACGAUAACACAAUCGAAGAACUCUCGUACUCCAAAAAGACUAGCAGUCAAGUCGGAGCUCGAGAUAAUACGUGAUGACUCUCUUCAUCCAAUGUGACAGACUACGUGAUAAUGUACACGUCGAAUCAUCUUGGACUUGAGAGUAGGGGGCAACUGUUGGGAUAAGUCAACCGAUCUUCGACUCUAACUCUACAUCGGCCGCAUGAACACAUUACGCCGACUCAUGAUCGGUAAACCGAUCUACAGUCGGCUACUAUCAAUCAUCAACUAACAAUUUGGUUAACCCCUGACCGAAGACCAUCAACAUAUCAGAAUUACCAGUCGAUACUCAUUCUGAUCUACUAUCGACUUAUCAGUAUUACCGAUAUAUAGUCGGCCUAUCUGCUCAACACAUCCUAACCGUUAUGAAUGGUUAUCGACUAUGUGUCACACUCAUUAAUGAAAAUAAACAGUCCACUAACUCUAUGAUUAUGGUCCGAUAAUUUAGCAUCAUAAAAAGCGGGACCACGUGCUCGAUGGUUACAUCAGAAUCAUCUAUAAAAGGAGAGGUAAAUGAGCAGCACGGGUAAGAUAAUUCUGGACUAAGACUCUGCCACUCUAAACAUUUUUAUCUACUGUUCACCAAUCCCCUCUCUGACUUAAGCAUCGGAGGGUCCUCACCGGAUACAAUUUCGAUCUGUGAGGACUUUGUCUUGUAGGUGCUCUUCGCCGGCGAUAGACGACAGAAAAUUAACCGCAAUAGUCAUGAUGCAUAGAAUUGUUUGAUGAAUAAUAGAUAAUCAGAAUAAUGCAUGCACAUAAAAAUUAUAAUUAAAAUAUUUUAUCAUCAAAUCAAAAUAUAAUUGGUAGUUGUAAGACAUGGAAUGGCUUCCAUGUCCUUUUACUAAAAAGGAAGAAAAAGUUUAUUAUCAUUCAUCCAAAUUACAUUAUUGUUAAUUCUCACACCAACAAGUUGGUUAGGUAGAAAGCUAAAAUGGCAAUCUCUGUAUAAAAGUUUCUUAUGCACAUCAAGAUGUUUAUCAUAAAUUAAGUGAUAUGGAAUUAAAGCAUAAGUAGCAGUGCUACAUUUUCUGUUCAUAUUUAUAGUAAUGUUAUUUUUCACUAUCAUGCACAUACAUGCAUGCAUAUGCAUCAAACACACAUGCAAGCUUGUAUUCACAAACCUUCAAUUUAAUAGAAGCUAUAUUAAUUGACGAGCAAACUCCUAAUUUACUCGGAGGGCUCACAAAAAAGUCAAGACGAGCGUGCUAAAGGGCGCUUAAAGCAUAUUCCUUUCUUAAUGAUCUUUGGUCUCUUUUCUACCUUAUAAGAGAGAAAUUAUUUCCUACACUAACAUGCCCUAUGUGGCCAUGCCUGUUUCCAAUCACAACUGCUCAUUCUCAUAGCAGUGCAUCAAGAUACAUGUUUGAUGAAUAAGGACCAUAGAAAUGAGUGGCUACGAUUGGGGGCAUGCAUGGUUACAUGAUGCAUACAAUGUAGGGAAUAAUUUCUCCACCAUAAGAUCAUUCUUGAUCCGUCCCAAUCCAGACCUAAUCCUCCCACAUCCUUGAAGGCUCGAUGGCACUAGGCUCUAAACUCGAAUACUACCCAACCUGAUCAUGUCCUCCUCGCAAUCGUUUAACAGCAGUCCUACGUCCAGCCCAACCCAAACUCAUCUCCAGGUCCGUGCCUACCCCUGAGCUGGGCCUCUGUUCCUUCGCCGCUUUGUUAGAACUUGUACGAAGAGAAGGUGUAACUAUAACGGAGUGAUAAAAUGCGCCCCGGGUGCCCCUGCUUUCUGUCCGCCGUGAAUGGCGAUGAGAGCUCUAAGCCCUAGUCCCUGGGUGUUCCUCGUCCUCUCCCUUUCUCUUCUCCCAUCCAAACCGUCUAUUGAAGGAUUCCUUCGCUCUUCCUCACCUUCGAUCCGCAUCUCCGCUAGAAACUAUGGGGACGAGGGCUUGGAUGCCCGGGUUUCUUCUCCUGUUGGCCAUCGGAGUGGCGUCGCUGUCGGGAAGCGACACCCUCGGGUCCGUCUCCGUCGAUGGAUCUCUGCCCCAGGGUCUCCGCCGGUGACUCGAUCCUCGGAGAUCAGCAUUCGUGCGCUGCCGUGAAUUUCCCGCCCCAUGAGGAGCAAUCGAGCAACGUCACCGAGGUAAUUCUUAAUUUUGUCUUCUGAUCCAAUUUUAUGCCCCCAUUGUGUCUUCUAGGGAGAAAUUAUGUCCGAUUUGUUGCAUAAUUUUAGAAAAUAUAUCGAUAUUUUUAAGCAUAUCGUUGCAGCCUUUCUCCGGUUGGGGUAGUCAGCCUGGAGCGAACUAGGUAUUGCGCCUGGAUACGGGCCGGUGGGAUGCCGGGAGAUGGUGUGCUGUCGUCGGAGAAGGUGCACAUAGUCAAGGCCGAAAGCGAGAGCGAGGGGUUGUCGGUGAACGGUGGCAUUGGUCUCCACUCGAUGCUGGAAGAGUGAGACCUGCAAAGGAAGUCCCACUGGAGAUGGCUCCGGCGAGGAUCUUCUGACUCUCAAGUCGGCGAGAUGACUCAAUAUAAUAGAAAUAGCAGCAGAGUUUUGGCAUUGUGUUGGCCAACAUACCUGGAGGAGUUCCCGCUUAUCUUUAUUUAUAGAGAGAGCAAAGUGGAUGAUAAGAGGGCAGGUGAUCAUAUCAAUUAUGUCCUGUCAGUCGUAUGAUGCCGCAUGGCAUUUUUAAAUGGCUCUGACAGCAAGCGUGCCUUGUUCGGUGCAUAAGUGGUUGUGGCGGCGGGCCUUAUCACGCGUGCGACGUAAUCAAUAGCCUCAUAAUAUCCCAUCAUGGUGCACAACCAGCCUGUCAGGAAGUCAAUUGAAAGAGCCCAUUGAGUGGUGCUACCCAAUCGUCAGUUUGGAUAGUUGGUAAGGCACCGAGAAAGAAGUCGACCUUUUGAUGACUUCUGAUGAAGUCGGCUUCGGCCUCCUGAUGAAAUUGACCUCGGCCUCCUCAUGAAGUCGGUCUCUGGAUGACUCCUGAUGAGGUCGGCCUCGGCCUCCUAGUGAAGUCGGCCUCCUAGUGAAGUUGGCCUCCGGAUGACUUCUGAUGUCGGCCUCAGCCUCCUAAUGAAUUCGGCUUCGGCCUUCUAGUGUUGCGGUCCGAUCAGCUAGGCUUAUGAGGUCGGAAUCCGUGUCCAACCCAACGUGAUGGUAUUGUCCACUUUGGGGGCCUAUCAGGACGUACCUCGUGUGGUGUGGGUGACCUCUUACGACUUUACCUUUUUGGGUCCGUGCCAAAGCGAUCGGACCGUGGCCCAUGCUAGCGCGAUCGAACCCAAAAGGCACCUCCACAUGAAAGGGGGGUUCAGAAAUCUUAUAAGAUGAGAUGGCCUGAUUGAAUAGCUGAUGUGGGACUAAAAAGUCCACACUUCCUCCGCAAUAGUGGCCCUCCUCAAUUAGGGGACCGAACCUGUUGGGGGAUGACUUGCAUGGACCACUAGUGUUGCAGUUCGGUCAAUCAGGCUUAUGAGAUCAGAACUCGUGUCCAGUCUGACGUGAAGGUAUAGUCCGCUUUGGGGGCCCACCGGGACGUACCUUGUGCACCGUGGGUGACCCCUCACGGCUUUGCCCUCUUGGGUCCAUACCAAAGCAACCGAACCGUGACCCGUGCUAGCACGAUUGAACCCAAAAGGCACCUCCGCGUGAGAGGGGGGUUCAGAAGUCUUAUAAGACGAGAUGGCCUGACUGAACAGCCGAUGUGGGAUUAAAAAGUCCACACUCCCUCCGCAACACAUAUAGUUACAUUAGUCGUGCUUUUCUUCGAGGAAGAAAGGUGUUCGAGAAAAGCCAAAUAGUAAGAGAGUUUAAUGAUCAAGAUACAGCUUAUGGAUGGAGAUAAUGAUGAUUAAUUAUGUGGUGAUUGUGUGGAGCUGCAGACAUUUUACUAUUGAAAUGUUUCCUUGAUGUUCGACAAUGUUGUAUAAAUUUUAGGGUAAAAUGAUGGGGUCUUUCUCAUGUAAGAAUGGUUUUACGUGUUUGUUUGUUGGUUGGUUGGUUGGUUGGGAUGGGGGAAUAAGCCAAAUGAUAGACAAUUCUGUAUGGUUUAAGACGGUGAAUGAUAAAGAGCACCAAAUUACUCCCAAAAAAAAAAAAUCCACUAAACUUAGGAAGGUUGGCACCUGAUAAGAAUGCUGGGAUAAGGAAUUUGUGCAUUAGAGGAAGUCUGACUGUCAUGUAGGCUAAGGACGGUUGGUGAAGAAAUUGCUGAGACAGUGUGGGCAUGUGCAACGAAAGAAAAUGGAAAUAAUUUUGGUAACAACCGUUUUAACCCUUAAAGGAAUGACUGAUCUAGAAGGGCUCAUAAAGCUGAUCAAUAAUAGUUGAUAACCAUGGUUAGUCUCCAAGAAGAGGAGAUAUUUGGAUAACUAGUAUCCAAUGUUGUUAAUGAUCCAUGAUUUGUAUCUUACUUUCCAGAUCAAAAUGGUCCUCGAUGUGAAUCUCAUCCUUGGUUUGGGAUCAAUUAGGAUCAUAAGGUCGUAGGAUCCAACUUGAUCAUGAUACUUACAUAUAACUCUUGUGGAAAUUCAUUUCAUAUAAAUUCUUAGACUCUAUGACCUUAGGAAUUAAAUUAGCUUUAGCAUGUAAAAUGAGCUAGCUUGUUAGGGUUCUGAUUUCUAAAAAGUAAAGAAACAGAAAAUUUAUAGUUUAUGGAAAUAAGAUUGAGGCAGAAUCUUCAUAUUUCUACGACCAUUUGUCAGAAUCUUCUUUUUUCCUAAAAAUGUUCUACCUAAGGAUAAUUGAAUUAGUAGGCUGUACAUAAAUACUUUGAAUAACUACACAUGGCUUUUGUUUCAUUAGAUGUAAUCAAUAUUUCUUUAUGUUGGCGGAAAUUAUACUUCUUUUGUGGCUUCUUAUUUUUCAGACAUCUACUUUAUAAUUAACUCAAUUUUAAAAUUUUCACAUUUUUUAUUUUUUAUAUUUUGAGGAAAUUAGAAAGUGUCAUACAAUAUGCAAUUCAGACUAUGAUAUGUUUCAAAUUCCCUUUAGUAUUUAUAAUCCAAUCCCAAUUUAAGCCCAAACACUCAAGUGUCCAUCAUUGGAGUAAUCUUUCAAUUCUUGUGAAUGGAGUAUUGUUCUUGAACAUAAACAUAAGGUAUAGGAAAAGGAGACUUCUAGUAGGAAAAAGAGAAAAAUAGAGGGGUUCACAAUUAAGAAUUAGCUCAGUGAUCAUCUAUAGUGAAGGUGCUCGAGGUCAAAAGAAAUGCUGAUGCUUUUAGGACUUCAAUUUGUAAUGUUGGUGAUGUAAUCACUGAUGCACUGAUGCAUCUCUGAAAUGCAUGCACAUAUAGAAAACAAUUCUAACCAAGAAUAAUCGGUCUGCUGUGCUGAAGAUUGGUUUGUUUUGUGCUUCAAAUGAUUCCUCAAAGCCUAGCUGUUGUUUGAAAACAAUAUAGAGUAUUAUAUGUUUGCUAUUGAUGUCAAGCUAGUCUUCUUGUCAGGCCACUUACUGUAUAUGUUGUCCCUAUGCUUUUUUUUCUGAUUAUGCUCCCUCUUCAAGAAAAACUCUGUGGAUGCCUUUUUUUAAUUUUUUUUUUACACCUCUCCUUAGCAUUUGUCCGAUCUUUGCUUCAUGGCUUGCUCUGGUGGGAAUUGUGAGAAGUAUAAUAUUAAGAGGGGUAAGCACCAAUUGUUUGGUAAUCUGUUUGUCCAACACAUUCAGCAUCAAGAAGACAUGCAGUAGUAAUUGAGGUUGCAUUUGGUGCAUCGUCAGGUAAUCUGGAUUGCCUUCAAGAUAGAUUGCCACCAUUAAAUUAUCAGUAAUGUUAAUUACUGUAUUUGGUACAUGAGGAUAAUGUUGCAGUAAAAUUAUUAAAAAUCUUGAUUGACAUGUUUGGCAUGACAAUUAGAUUAUCGGUAAUAUAAAAUCAAAUUUCUAAAAUAUCUCCUUAACCUGAUAAAAAUAAUAAUAUAAUAUAAUAUAUUAUUAUAUAUAAUAAUAUUAUAUUAUGUAUUAUGUUAUAUUAAUAAAAGAUAUUAUUAUAAUAUAUUAUAAUAUUAAUAUUUCAAUAUAUUGCAAUAUAUUAUAAUAUAAUAGUAUAACAAUGUAAUUAAUAUAUUGUUAUAUAGAAUAAUAUUUAUAUAAUAUAUAUUACAAUGUAUUAAUAUAAUAUACAAUAUUAUAUGAUAAUAUAAUAAUAAAUUAUUAUAAUAUAAUCUAAUAUACUAUAUUAUUAUAUAUAAUAAUAUUAUAUUAUAUACUAUAUUAUAUUAAUAUGAGAUAUUAAUAUAAUAUAAUAUAUAUUAUUAUAAUAUAUUAUAGUAAUAAUAUAAUAAUAUAUAGUAAUAUAAUAUUNNNNNNNNNNNNNNNNNNNNUUAUAAUAUAAUAUAAUAUAUCAUAUUAUUAUAUAUAAUAAUAUUAUAUUAUAUACUAUAUUAUAUUAAUAUAGGAUUUUAAUAUAAUAUAAUAUAAUAUAUUGGUAUAAUAUAAUAAUAUAUAGUAGUAUAAUAUUGUAAUAAUAUAAUAUAAUAUACGAAUAUAAUAUCAUUUAUUAUUAUAUAUAAUAGGAUAUAUAUAAUAUAUAUUAUAAUAUAUUAUCAUAUACUAUAUUAUUGUAAUAUAAUAUAGUUACUAUAAAAAUCUAAUAAUGAUAUAAUAAUAGGAUAUUAUAUUAUAAUAUAUUAUAUCAUAUUAUUAUAUAUAAUAAGGGGAGGGUAAGAGCCGUCAAGGAAAGGGGAUGGAGGGAUGGGUUUUGUGUGUUUUUUUUUAGGGAUAAAUUUGUCUAAAAUUUUUUUUUGCAAUAUUGCCAAACAAGUGGUAAUCUGGAUAGCCACCUCUCUCCAAGGCAAUCUGGAUUGCUACCAAAAAAGUAUACCAAACACAGUAAUCUGAUGGGCCCACUUUAAAUUGCCAGCAAUUUGAAAAGAUUGCCAGCUACCAAAUGCAACCUGACUAUGUCCUUCCAUUGUACAAAUUUUGACUAGAUAUUUAAUGCUUUUGCUUUUCUUACUUCUUUACUUUGUCUAGUCAUUUCGUAACAUGACGAAGUAGAUGUCUGAUCCCUUCUAGAUAGUAGUUGCUUUAUUCAUUUUCUUUUUGUUGGAGAUCAUCUUACUGUCGCAUUAAGACAUCAAAAUUUUAUUGCUUUUUAUUAUCUUUUAGAUCCUUUUUACGUGAUAUAGUUACUCCCUUCUAGGCACUCAUCUCUCUGUUAUCCACCUUUACUACCCUGCCCUCCAAGGAUACACCACCUGUACCACCUUCACUACCCUGUUAUCCUUAUGAUGUCGUUGUUGUCAUUCUUCUCAGAAGGUGUCGUCAGUGUGUGUUCAAGCAUUCAAUUCUAUACUUGCAAUAUUGCUCUUUUUGUCUGCUGAUUUCUAAUCACAUGCAACUGCUCAUAUUGCAACUCUAUUUUAGCAAGUUUUUAAAGCUGGUUCUGGCUAUGUUGUAUUUAAAGAAUUUGCAAGUCUAGAUUUUUAGAAAAAUGUACCAUCUCUCUUCAAGUUGGUUCAUAAUGUGUUAUAGAGCCUGUCACCAUAUGAUCUAACAGUCUGAUAGAUUACAUGAGUUCCCAUGUAAUAAAAUGGUAUUUGUGAUUCCUACUAGGAUCUUAUAUCAAUAGCGAACCAUACCCUUAAAUACAUGCCUCUUUUAGCUAUGACCUUGUGUACACUUGAGAAAGGAAAAUAUGAAUGAGAGGUAAGAGAUAUAUGUUACUGGUAUAGUUGGGGGAUUGUGUUUUUUCUUUACUGGAAGUCCUACCUCCCUUCAGAAGGGUAAGUCAAUAAAGACGUUUAUCACAAUCCUCAUUUUAGCAGUGACUUGAGGAGAAAAAUGAUUUUUAGAUUUAUUGUGGGCUACUCUGGUCUGGCCAGAGAUCAAAAUAUAGGUUUUGAUUCUUUCGUUCAUUACUAUAUUGUUUCCAAAUAUACAGUUUCAUUUAGAUGUCUCAUUUUCUUUGAAAUACGGUUACAUACUUAUGAUCAAAAGACAGAUAAUAAGAGUAUGAAAUGAUCAGUGUAUAGGCUAUUGGAGCAUUGCAAGACCAUAUUUUGUCUGCAGGAUUUUUUGUUCCACUUGCCAUACAAUUUGAUUUUGGUGGUCUUUUUGGUGGGUAAGAAAGAUGCACUAAUAUAUGGUAGAUAGCUGUCUGCUUUCACUCUGUACAGAACUCUGAUUCAUUGCUUAUGGCGUGAACUUUUUAAGGGUGGUGGGGAGUAUGCAUUGUUGGUAGCAUUACAACUAAUUUACAGAAAGCAGGGGCCCUUCACGGCUGUGCUCUUUUUAUGAUUCUCGCUGCCCUUUCUCAAAAGCAUUCCAACCAAGCUUCGAUGUUCUGUCUUCCUUGCACCUACUGUUCUUCAUUUUGCAGUUGAAGAAUCUUCAAUCAGGCGAAGGUGUGUACUGCAAAUCUGUCUGUAAGCUUAGGUCUAUAUGGAUGUGGAAUCCUCAUGGAUGACUGUUGGAUGUAAUUGUGGCAUGCUUUCAAGGUAUAGUGCCCACGGUUUUCCAACUUUUUUUAUUCUAGAUUGGAACUUUCGGGUGCAGUAUCAUGGAGUGUGAACCACCAAUUCUCUUAUAGCUUAGUACAAUGAUAUUACUGGUAACUUUUUGUAUUUGUUGUCCAUUAUCAUUGAUAUCUAUCAUAAGAUCAGCAUAGAAAAGGAACUUUAUGCUGGAAUAUUUCCAUCAACUGGUUUGCUGUUGGAAUUUAACAUAUACGUUAGGAUCUAAUCAUGAGUAUGUUUGUCUAAUGUUUAAGUUUUGAUAGGUUGCUUUGGCCAUUUUUCAGGAAAACUAUACAUCUUCCCUCAUCAUGUGCAGCUGACCAUUAUUAUUGACAUUUUGAGAGCAAAAGAAAUGUAAAGAUUCCUGUGAUUGCAGACUUUUUUUUUGCCCAGAAAACUAAUAAGUGUUGACUAUAGCAAGACUUACCAACUAGACUUAUGUGUUCUACAGAUUGUUAGCAAACUUGAUUGCCAUGGCAGAGGCUAAACCUGGAUGUCCAUUUAAAGUGCGUGCCUCCAUAGGCAUCUGUUAUCACUUGCUAUCUAUGAACACUGGUAGUUUGUCGUGCCAAAGUUUUCACCUGUUGAUUGUUUCACAACUAGAGUAUUGAAGGAAGGGAAUAUUUUUUAUAUGUCUUUCAGCCUCUCAAAGGGCCUUUAUAGAUUAUUGGAUACAAUGUACUUGGACAUAUUACUAGAUACAAUGUACUUGGACACACUAAAUAUGGUGAAAACUUAAUAUAUGGUUAUAACUUAACUAGACAUUUCAGAGAUAAAUUGUUCCAGGAGAAUAAGAAGAACAACAUAACCUAAACUACUACUUUACUCUAAUUCUAACACUCUUCCUCAAACUGGAGCAUAUACAUCAACUAAGCCCAGCUUGGAACAUAUAGUAGAAAACCUAGUAGAAUGGAGAGCUUUGGUGAAGAUGUCUGUGAGCUGGUAUGUUGAACUCGUGAAGGGUGUCAUAAUCUUGCCAUUCAAAACAGCUUCUCGAAUAAAAUGAAAGUCUAUCUCUAUAUGCUUAGUCCACUCGUGAAAGAUUGGAUUAUUAGCAAUAUAAAUCGCUGUGUGAUUGUGACAAUGCAUAACCAUAGGCUUUGUAUGGACAACCCAUAAAUCCUCCAUAAGGGACUUAAGCCACAUCAUUUCACAGGUAGUAUGGGCCAUUGCUCUGUACUCUGCCUCUGCAUUUGAUCUGGCCACCACAUUUUGCUUCUUGCUUCUCCAUGUUACUAAGUUUCCUCCAAUAUAAGUACAAUGGCCAGAGGUCAAGCAUUGAUCAUCUACAGAUCCUGCAUAAUCUGCAUCAGAGUAGGCCUCGAUGUCAAGAUGUCUAGAUUUUUUGAAAAGUAGUCUUUUCCCGAAAGAGCCUUUUAUAUAAUGGGGAAUUCUGAGGGCUGCCUCCUAAUGUCCUCUCUUUGGCUUGUGCAUAUACUAGCUGAUCAGUCCAAAUGCAAAAAAAAUAUCUGAUCGUGUAACGGUGAGGUAUAUCAAUUUUUCAGUCAAUCGAUGGUACUGAGCUGGAUCUGAAAAAUCCUCAUCAUUUUCAGAGGGAUUGUUAUGAUUGAUAACCAUGGGAGUGCUGACAGGCUUACAGUCAAGAAGUCUAAUUUCUGCUAGCAAGUCAAGUGCACACUUCCUCUAAGAAAGACUAACCUUAUUAGCAUAGUAAGCAAUCUCAAGACUUAAGAAGUACCUUGGCCUGCCAAGAUCUUUGAUAAUAAAAUGAGAUUGAAUAUAUUAUUUGACUUCAGCGAUGCCCUCAAUAUCAUAUCACCGGCGAGGAGAAUAUCAUCUACAUAAAUUGCAAGUACAACAAUUUCCCAUUAAUUUUUUCGGACAAAGAUCGAGGGAUCAAGCUGUGAGCAUUGGAGCCCUACAUUGACAACAACCUUUGUGAACUGGUCAAACCAAGCACAAGGGCUCUGCUUCAGCCUAUAAAUGGCCUUCUUGAGCUUGCAUAGCCGAUUCUCCUCCUAAGUAACAUAUCCAGGUGGUUGCUCCAUAUAGAUAUCCUCAAGAAGAUCAUCAUAAAGAAAUACAUUCCGGACAUUCAUAUGAAAAACAGGCCAAUCUCAAUUAACAGUAACAGAGAAUACAAUCCAAACAAAAUUCAUCCGAGCCACAGAAGAAAAAGUCUCAUAAUAAUCAAUCCCAUAAAUCUGAGUAAAUCUUUUGGCAACCAAGCGAGUCUUGUAUCUGUCAAUAGAUCCAUUCGGUAGGUGUUUGAUAGUAAACACCCAUUUGCACGCAACAGGUUGAACACCCAUAAGAGGGGGCACAAGCUCCCAAGUACCACGACUGGUAAGAGCAUUCAUCUCUUUAUUCAUAGUGACUUUUCAAGCUGGAUCAGACAGUGCUUCCGAAUAAGACUUGGGAAUAGACACUGAGGAUAUAGACAAGGCAAAAUGAUGGAAAAAUGGACUGAAAUAGUCCAGAGAGACAUAAUUAGCAAUCGAGUGCAUGGUAUAUAUAUGUUUGCGCUUGUGUAAAGCAAUAGGAAGAUCAAGAUUAGGUAUCUCAGGAUCCGAAGCUGGUGAAAGCAGAUUGGAGUGAACAUGAGUUGUAGGUUUCUGGCGGUAUCGAUAAACCAGUAAAACAGGAGGAGCUGUUGGUAGUGUCUCUGAGGGCUGCUUAGGAUUCGAGGAAGGGACAACUUGUAGUGAUAGAGCUGGUGUAGGUAGAGGAGGUCCAGAUAAGGUAUCAAUGGAGCCUCGGAACGAGAAAAAAAUGAGACAGACUCAAAGAAAGUAACAUCAGUAGAAAUAAAGUGACGUCAGACAAUUGGAUCAUAACACCUAUAUCCUUUUUAUGUGUAGGAGUAACCCAAGAAAAUACAUUUAACAGAUCGAGGGGAUAGUUUGUCAAUUCCAGGGCUAAGUAAGUGAACGAAGUAGACAGUCAAACACCCGAGGACUCAGUGGAAAUAGAGACUUAUUUGGAUAAAGACAAGAGAAGGAUGUCUGACCAGCAAGAAUAGAAGAUGAGAGAUGAUUAACAAGAUAGCAAGCAGUAAGAAUAGCAUCCCCCAAUAUUUUUUAGGCACAUACAUCUGAAACAUCAAGGUGCAGGCCAUAUUCAGGAGGGUACGAUUCUUACGUUCAGCAACCCUAUUUUGUUAAGAAGUAUAUGCAUAGGAGGUCUGAUGAAUAAUACCAUUAGGAGCACAAAAUUUUUUAAACAAAGAGCUUGCAAAUUCUAAGGCAUUAUUCUUACGAAGAGUCUUAAUGGACACAGAAAAUUGAGUUUUUAUUUUCAUAUAGAAUUCUUUGAAUAUACUGAAGACAUCAGAUCGACUCUGAAGAAGAUAUACCCAAGGGACUCGAGAACAAUCAUCAAUAAAGAUAACAGAGUAGCGAAAUUUAAAAUAGGAUGACAUAGGAUUCGGACCUCAGAUGUCCGAAUGAAUAAUCUCAAAAGGAGUAUUACUCCGACUAUUGGCAUUAAAAAGAAAAAACACACAAUGGUGCUUGCCAAACUCACAAGCAGCACAUGGCGAAUAGAAUAAAGUAGAAGGAACAGAUACAAAUUUACUCAAUGAUGAGAUAUCAGGAUAGCCGAGUCUGCAAUGCCAAAGAGAGAUCUGAAUCCUAAGGAGUUGUAGGAGAAGCAGCAACAGCGGUAGCAGGUUCUGCAUCAAGAUAGUAGAGACUCCGCAACUCAUGCCCACCACCAAUCUGCUUCUUGGUCCGGAGAUCCUAAAAGACAUAGUAGGAAGAAAAAAAAGUAACUGAACAGUCCAAAGAGCAGAUAAUGUGACUUAUAAAUAGAAAACUAACAGAAAAAUUAAGAAUAUAGAGAACUCUGUCAAGAGGUAAAGAAGAGGAGGCAAUCACUAACCCCUCUCUCAGAACAUGAGAGGAGCCAUCAGCAAUGGAUAUAGGAGGAUGAGUAGAAGAAAGAGAUAAAAUAAAAAAUAGAGAUCGAUUACCUAUCAUAUGGGUGGAGGCACCAGAGUCUAGACCAGGACUUACCAUGGAUAGCAACCGACGCAGACCCAGAAGAUGGAGAUGCAAGGAAUGAAGAGGCAUGUGGCUGUAAUAAUCUAUCAUACUCCAUCUUAAUAAGUGCAAUAACAUCGCUCGUGGUCUCAAAAAUAGGGACAGCACUAGCAGGAGCAACAACAGUUAGUUAGCGAUCUCUGGUUUACCAAACUUAUGCUAGCACCACUCAAAAUUAUGGUUAGUGCGAGUGCAGUGAAUACACGGAGGAAAAUUACGAUCACGGCUCCAGCCACAUCCGCUAGAAGCAGCAUGAGCAGAUUGAUCAACAGAUGUAGGAGAAAAUUUAGAAGCAGCCGUGGUAGUAGAUACUCGGAGCAUACGAGCAAGGGUAUUAGUCAAUAUGGGAUAGCAGAGUCAGACAAGAAAGACUGCUGAACAUGACUGAGACUAUCAUAUAAUCCGGAGAGAAACUUGGCUACAAGAAAUUCCUCACGUUGUUGCUUCAAGACUGUUGCAUCAGUAGUAAUGGGAUGACAAAUAGUUAGUUCAUCCCACUUAUCUUUAAGUGCAACAAAGUAGUCAUUGAUAGAUCAUUCAUCUUCAUGAAGACUAAAGAUCUGCUCAUAUAGGGCAUAAACACAGCUAAUAUUCUUCUCAUGCCCAUACAUCUCCUCGAGAGCAUCCCAUAUAUCUUUCACAGUAGAUAGAAACAUAAUAUUGGCACUUACCAAGGAUUCACAACUAUUUAAAAGUCAAGUGAUAACUGCGUAGUCAUCAUCCUACCACUUAUCGACAAUUUUAGUUGCCAUCUCGCAAUCAGAAGACUUGGAGGAAGAGGUAUCAGGAGGGAUGUCGGUGAGAUGUUUCAACUUGUGUUGAGAACCAACAAAGAAGCGGAAGGCCUGAGCCUAGAGGACAUAAUUAGCACCAUUCACUUGAUCGUGGUGUCUAAAGGAAUGGACUUCGAGACUUCCGAAGAUAAUGCCAUAUAGAUCCGAAGAUAACAGUGGCAGCACACAAGGAAGAGGAGUCCUGAUCAUAGCAUAGAUAAGAGGAGGAUCAGGGAAUCUACAUCAUGAUCAAGGCCAAAACAGUAGAGAAAACCCGGAGGCUGCAGGAAGGAGAGGAAGAUGGCUAGGGUUUGACGUGGCUAGGGUUUUGCUCUAAUUCUAUAUUGAAGGAAGAGAAUAUUUUUUAAAUUUCUUUCAGCCUCUCAAAGGAUCUUUAUAGGCUACUAGAUAAAAUGUACUUGGACAUAUUACUAGAUACAAUGUACUUGGAUACAUACUAAAUAUGGUGAAAACUUAAUAUAUGAUUAUAACUUAAAUAGACAUUUCAGGGAUAAAUUGUUCCAAGGGAACAACAUAAGCUAAACUACUACUCUACUCUAAUUCCAACAAGAGAAUUUGAUUUGACUGUUAGAAUCAUCUUUCAUUUAUCUUUAAUCACACCAACAAGUGCUAGCAAAGUCAGGUGAGGAAGAGCGCAACUGUUGUAAUGAAGCUUUAUAACAACUUUGUAGGAAAUCAUGACUCUGUUUUCUCCACCUUAACGGUGAAGUUCACAACUGCAACUCCACCUUGCAUUCGUAUUGAACAUGAUUCAGCUGGCCUCUUUGGCAAGCUAGAUAUCUAGAUGAUGAUAUUCUUCUCAUGUUUCUUGACCAUUUUAUUAAUUACUAACAUAUCUUAGAAAUUUUAAAAACUGACAUAAAAGGCCUUCGGAAAAAAAAGACAGAAAAAUGUACAGCAAAAAGAAAAUAUGCAAGAAUCCAGCUGGGAGAUAAUAAAAAGCACAGCCUAACAUGUUUGAGACCAUUCUUGUAAGCAUACUUGCUUAAUCCAGUCAAAAUUUGCAAGGCUGUUUAGAAAGUUGCUAUCCUAAUCUCGAUUGAUACAUAUUCAGACAACAGGAAGUAUCCAAAACCAUCAUAUUUAAAUGGGAGACUGGACGACUGCAAGUUGAUAGUGCAGUAUCCUAUUCGAAAAAAAAAGUUGAUAAUGUGCUAGAAUUCAAAAUUAUGGCAUACUUUUCUGCUUCCUUCUUUGAAAUGAUGAUACAUUUAUUGUGCAUUUGAUUCUUCUAGGCAUUACUGGAUCCAAGUUCAAUGGACGUAACUGUUGACUCAUCAAGCCUUGCCGAGUGUGAGGAAGAGACUACUCGGAAGACUGUCCAUAUUCUUGGGCAAGGACCCCAGAGAAGAUGCUGCAGCAAAAGAUGUGCCUUGCUCUGGCUACCUUUUCUUUUUCUGCUUUCGAGUUUACUGUACUUUCUUCUUUGGAAGCUUAAUGCAUGUGUAAAUUGUGCAUGGAGGCGGCAUAUGAGAACUGUGAGCUUAAUGAGCUUGUGGUCCUGUUCCCAGCAUAUCAGAAUCUAUGCAGAAGGAGCAAAGGUGCAACGAAUGCAAGGACAUGGGCUACCAAGUCACUGGCAUCAGCAUCCAUUGGUGAGCCAGACACAGAAAGUGAAGGAAGAGAAGAAUUUUCUGGUAUCUCUUGUUACCAUGUCUGUGCAAUAGAUCACAAACAACAAAUAAAUUUGUUUUUUAUUUGUUACAUUUGUUAUGGAUGCAAUAAUUUUUGUAUGGGCCUCCUUGUUGGAAGCAGAUGAUUCGUUGUUCCCCUGAUACUUUUUGUUCUAGCAUGACUUAUAAUUUGAAUUCUCCUAAUUAAUUGGGGUGAAAGAUGGAAAUUACUUGCAACCUCCAGUCUACUUGUUUAGAAUGCUGGAGAUAAGUCUUCUGCAGUGCAACUUAAGGAUUCAUUACUUCCAAAUUGUCAAUUAGGUGUGCUUCCAUGAUUGGGGUGAACUCAUCUGAUGGUGGAAUAUCGAGUAAAAUCGGCAAUUUACGUUGAUGAGGUGGUUUGAAGAUGGCAAAGGGAAGCAGCUUCUCACUUCCAUUCGGUGGUCGAUGCAAAUCACCUUGCACAGGGCAUUUCUUGGACCGACCCCAUUUUCAGGUUAGUGCUCUAGAAAAGAAAGUUGGGAGAAUCUAAUUCUCCACUUGCCCCUUCUUGGCUUUCUUCUCUGUUGGAAUAAAGUUCGGAACAGACAGGAAGAAAAGACUCAGACUUCAUAGUCUUUGAAGAGAAUUUGCCCCGCAGGCCUGAGGCCACUUCAUCCAAAGAUAGCUCCUGAGAAGGCGGUGGAAACGAAAGAAGGAAGAGAAAUCCCAUGGGAGGAAGAACUAGGACUGUGAGGUGCAGCAGGUGCGGCGUCCAACUGGUUGUCCCACCGUCUGCCAGGACCAUCCGAUGUGCCAUCUGCCAUGGUAUCACCAACGUUGGGUCUCGCCAGGAUCCGGUCCGGCAAGCAGUGGGCUUUGUGAAAUCAAUGGUCAAUUCCUUGAAUCCCUUGUUGAGCUAUGGAUCCGGCGGGUCCUCCAUGUCCUAUGGUUUCAACAGCAGCAACAACAACUCUCUGUGGAAUUUGCCACCAGGCUAUCCUCCGGCGCAAGGGAAGAAGAGGGCGCUUCUGAUCGGAGUUAGCUAUAGGAUGAGGCGGUAUGAGCUCAAGGGGACGGUGAACGACGUGAACUGCAUGAGGUACUUGCUGUGCGAGAGGUUGGGAUUCCCAAGCGAAUGCGUCCUGGUUCUCACAGGUAUGGAAAUUGUUGCUCCCUCUGUUUGAGCUGCUUAGGUGCUUGUUACAGCGAUCCAUAGGUUACAGAGGCCGAAGCAGUUUACAUGCAGUUGAGGUGUAUGUUGCUGCCCUGCAUGAACCAUGCGUCAAAUUCAAACCCAUAGUAUGAUACUGACAGGUGACGAAAUUGAGGCUAGAAGAUAAGAAUGAGCCACUUAAAUCUGUGCGGUGUGUCAAAAAUCUGGGACGAGUUCAACUCACGCAGGGUAGUAUCACAGUACUGCUGCCUCAGUCGCAUGUAGAGUGCACCAUAUGUACAUCCCGGUUAUGGUAGAUGUGAUGGCUUUUUGUAUAAUCCUGAUUCCUAAUGCUAGUUGCGUAUAUCUUCCCCUACCAUAUUACGGUCUCAGGGUUUGCGUAUGGAACCCUCGUUCCACUUUAUUGUGUGUUCCAUAUGCAACGAAUUUCACUCUUGCUAUAUUUUUUAAACUAUCCCUCACUUCUUCCCUUCCUCUCUUACGUUACAACUUUAAUUACAAAACAAUGACUGAAACACUUUUAACGUAUCAUAUCACCAAGAGAUCAAUUUUUCAGACAAAUAUUAUUUGGAUACGCGGACAUCCUAUCCAUAUUUGACUUCCCAUAUACAGGUGAGAAACACAGCUUAAAGCCUCUAAAUGAAGAGGAGAUAAAAAUUGGAGAAGCUGCUAAGUUAUCUCACAACUAGAUUAGGUUCGACACUGAUAGGGCCUUCUGACUACCAAUAUACUGGCCAAGAACGUACAUACAAUGCUUUCGAAUAUGUGGGAUGCAAGCACACACAGUCGUGCAAUCUGGCGUUUUUGCAGAACUUAGCAAUGCUCUUGAUCCUUGUCAAACGGCAGAGGCGCAGGUGGAUCCGUAUCGGAUACCGACGAAGGAGAACAUAAGGAUGGCGAUGAGGUGGCUGAUGAUGGGGUGCCAGGCCGGGGACUCGCUGGUGUUCCAUUUCUCCGGGCACGGCAUCCAGAAGCCGGACACCAAUGGCGACGAGGUGGACGGCUACGACGAGGCGCUCUGCCCCCUGGACUUCGAGACCAGUGGCGUGAUCGUGGACGACGAGGUCAACGAGACGCUGGUCCGCCCCCUCCCACGUGGCGCCAAGCUCCACGCCGUCGUCGACGCCUGCCACAGCGGCACCAUCCUCGACCUUCCCUACCUCUGCCGCUUCAACAGGUAUUCUGGCAGUGCCGUCUUGUAAAAGAUCCAGCUCUCUUCUCUUUCGAUUGCAACAUGCGAUGGAUUUAUAGUUAAUAAAAGUAUUGCUCAUACAUCUAUAUAUAACCUUAUGACAGAGAUUUCAAGUUCCACCUAUCUCCUCAGUUCCUCAUGUUAUGUGAGUGAUAUGAUAUUUGGUGGGAUCUUAAGGCCCAUGUAUAGGUCUGGACUUAUUAUUUUAGCCUAUGGAUGGUUGCAGAGGAUGUUUGUUACUUCGUUAGCUUCAUUGGGACUAAGAAGGUGCGCACUUGGCUUUGUGGGCCUCUGGAGUGCUUGAAAGAAGCUAUUUGAGCCUUCCAUGGGUUUCAGCGUUAAAGCAUCCUAACAAAUCAGUGAAAUCCCGCUGAAAAUUGAUGCGGAAGAUAGUGUUUCGCACAAAACUUCCACCAUUUCUUGCUCUAUUUCUCUGGUUUGAAUCCUUGCUUCGAACGCCUUUGAAGGUUUUCAAAAAACAAUUUGAUGCUAUUGUUUUCAAAUAGUAGUUUUUUUUUUUUUCAAAAAACAAUUUGAAAACCCCAAAAUAGUUACAUUAUGCGUGGUCCGGUGCAGUAUGUUUUUUCUUCUUGGGUUUUUGAAAACAAAAACAAAAGAAAGAAAGAAAGCAGAAUCAAAUGGGCCCUAAGCUUAUUGACUUUUUAAUAAGGAACCAGGUACCUUAUAAUUUACUUCUCUCAAACUUCAGUAAUAAGUUCUGAACAUUUUCAAUAAUCACGACAUUGGCUGCUGUUGGUAAAGCAAGGAAUUGCUGCAACCUGCACUGGCAAGUUAAAGGAGUGAAUCAUCACAAAGUGGAAUGACAUUAUAAGUUGCCAGAUCCCGUAUGCAAGAUAUACCAAUAUAUACUAUAUUCUUUAGGUUUUUCACCCAUAAAUGCUGCACACAUUCUUUUACUUGCAUUUUGGCAGGUUCAGUUUGCACCAUUAUUCCCAAUUUAGCUGAUCUUAGUGUCGCCUGUCUUGACAUGUUGGGACUUUGAACAUGUAAAUCUGACUUUUCUAACUGCUUGCUGUUGUCUUGCAGGGGAGGGUUUUACCAAUGGGAGGACCACAGGCCACCAUCAGGUGUUUAUAAAGGCACAAGUGGUGGGCUGGCUGUACUAAUCAGUGGCUGCGAUGAUCACCAAACCUCUGCAGAUACUAAUGUGAGUACUUGAUACAACCACUCUCUUCUCAUACUGAUGGCUGCUAGCAAAUUGUUAUUUUUCAUCAGUCAGGACCCCAUAUAAGAACGUUUUAUUACAUGCUAAGCAUUUUCUUUUGCUGCUCGUGAAUGCUAGGCCAGCGUAAUCACAAUUAAAUACUAACACUUUCAAAAGCCAGUGUUAUGUACCACCACAUGUAAUUAUUACAAUCUUUGAUGCUCAAAUUUUGCUACAAGCAUAUUUAUCUGGUCCUCCAUUACUUCAAUUCUACAAGCUUUAUUCCUUUUACGAGUAUUUGGCAAUGGAAAUAAAUAACCAUUCUUAAUAUUGCUAAUAUAAAAUCAAUGAGGUCUGGAACAAUAUCUAAUUGUUAUACAUAAAAGUAAUAUGAAUAUGGUGAAAAGUUAAUUAUGUUUCAAUUUGAAUGCAAUCUUCAAUGAGGUCUGGCAUGAUGUUUGAGGUUUUGCAACCUCUAUUUUGUUAAAGUCUUAUAAUGGUCUUGAUGGUAAUGUAAACCUUAAAGCUAAACAAUGAUUUCACAUUGCUGCCCCCCUUGCUUUUUUGGUCCCCUCCUUUUAGCUUCUUCCUCUUCUCCUUUCCUAUGCCUCUAUUCUCUUCCCCCUAUCAGAUCAGUCCAAUUGUUCCAUCCCUUCUUCUUCCCCCCCCCCCCUCCCGCCUCUUUUUUUUUUUUUAAGGGGAAAAUGGAGGAAGUGAAAUACUUCCCCCAAUUUAUUCAAUAUAGAGAUUAUGUACAAAAGGGAAAUACAAGAAAAAGACACAAGGUAUCAAUUCUUUGGCAUAAGUGGAGUGAGAUAAGACAUAAGUGCUUGAUGACUCUCCCUCCCUUUCUCAUUGCAUAGAUUUUGCCAAUGCCCUUCUUUCCUUUAAACGGUCAAUUUUCUUUUCCAUCCGCUUUCCCAUUCAAUUCAAAUUUUCUUUAAGUGUAUGUGGUGAUAUCUUACAAGACCAUGUGAUGCCUUUUCAUUCUCCCUUUUCCUUGCCUUUUUAAAGGUAUGGACUUCUCUAUCUUCUGAUCUACCUAUCAUGACUUCCCUAUCAGUUAGAUUAAACUGAUAUUUUGAGAUUCUACUUAUGAAAUUAGUAGAAGAGUUGUUAUAGUAUCAUUUAUCUAUUUGUUUCACUAUAGAAUGCGAUUCAUUGAUUGGGCACGGAGGAGAAUACUGUGGAUAAUAAGUUUGGGCAGCUUUGGAGGACAAACAUGAAGAGACAAAUCUAUAAUUUAAGGUGUUAUCUUUUGAUGGAAUCAUUGGAGGUCACAGGCACCAGAUGUGUGUCCUAUAUGAAUUUGUUUGCUACUUGUUGAACAAAAUGAAAAUUGCUCUUCUGCACUCACAUGCUUAAAGUGCAGUUUGUUGAUAUUUCUUAAUAAGCCUUAUUUUUUCAUUUUUGAUGAUUUAUUUAUUCUAAUGCAAACUCAAAAUGCUCUGUGGGAUCAGCAAAAAGGAAAAGUAAUGAAAUUUCAUGCAUAUUACUUCCAAACAGUAAGUGUUACAUAUCAAAAUUUGUUUCCCAAUCAAGUAGCUACCUAUUUCUUUUUAAUCCUUAAGCUUCUUCAUUCAGUUUGGAACAAUUCUUGCUUUUUCAUUCAGUUUUGGAACAAUGCUUGUUCAUUGCACUUAUAUUGUAACAGGAGCUAAUGGUUAUUUCUUGCCAGCAAUUGCUUUGAAGUGGAAAUGUGUUUCUUUUUCUCUUUUUGGAUUGACAUGAUUCAACUUCUGCAGGCUUUUGCAGGCUCUACCUCAACUGGUGCCAUGACUUACAGUUUCAUUCAAGCUUUGGAAUUUGAACCUGGUACUACUUAUGGACGCUUGCUCACUUCCAUGAGGUCUGCUAUUCGUGAUGCCAACACGGGGAUCGGAAGUGGCCCAAUAGCUUCUCUUUUAAGCAAGGUGUUCGGCUUAGGUUUGACACAGGUAUGUCCUUCCAAUGAAAUGCUCUCCAGUGUUAAUUUCAUAUCUAUGCAAAGAUUUUAGUGCUUCUUUGUUUUCCCUAGAGCUCAUCAAGUUAGUCCACUAUAGUGUCACUUCAUGCAUCAUUGCACUUGAUCCAUCAGCGCUUUAUGAAAUUUUGAUCAAUGUGGAUACAUGACAAGAGACUUAGGUACCUAUUUUACUUUGGUAGAAAUGAAAUUCAUGAUACAUUUGGAAGUGACUAUUCCCAUCAACAUCUUAUUUGCGCUGUUACUAGUGUUUGUUUACGCCUAAACACAUAUCGGGCCACUAAUGGAUAUAUGAUGUAAUCAUGUCAUCAUGCUAAAAAGCUCAAAUUCCAGCUGAAAUAAUUAGGAGGAUCUUGGAAUCUCUCUCAGAGUGAAUCAGGGGCUACUGGGGCUGCAGGAGAUUAGUUAUUUCACUGGACCCAUAUUUUGCACAGAUCAGUGGUAUUGUGCAAGUUAAUCUGCUAAAUAGGGUCCACUAAGAUUAGCUCUUUAACUUUUCCCUAUGUGUUGGCUACCAUAUGUCAAGUACUUGUAAUAUGGUAUAUUUUAUAAGUAGAUGUGAAUUUCUACAUUUUGUCUAAAUAUUUGUUUUUCUUCAGAGAUGGUUCAUGGACUAAUAGUUGGUGAUGAGGCAAUAUAAGGAGUAGAAAGAGUUGGCAAGUGGAGAUGUGGCAUGUAUCAAGACCUGGCCCUCUUUCAACAUUAUAGUUAAACUAGUAUCAGGCGUGUGUGAAUGCAUGUGGUUUAUUAAAAACAAAAGAGCAUUUGAUGGAUAGCUAAUAUAUAGAAUGUGUUUGUGUUCACUAAAAGUGGAGUAAUUUAAGUGGGGUGGUAGGAGCUGCCCACACCGCCCCCCCCCCCCUCUCUCUCUCUCUCUCUCUCUCUCUCUCUCUACNNNNNNNNNNNNNNNNNNNNCCCCCUCCCUCCUCUCUCUCUCUCUCUCUCUCUCUCAGAGAAAAGAGGAGUGGGCCUAAGAGAACCAAAAGGAAGAAUACUAGAUGAUACCCAGACUCUGUUUCUUAGACACGAAUGGUUCCAAGUCCAUAUUAUAACCAUACACUCAGCAUAUAAUAUGGAAGGCUGGCCUAGCUUGAACAGACUUUGAUGCUUUGGCAUGGGAAACUGAUAUUACAAAAUUUUGAGUAGGUAUUCACUCGGUGUGGCAACUGCUGCUGGUGUUUUACAUUAAUUUCUAUAGCCUACUUAUAUUCUUAUUAUUCAUUAGGAUUAAAGAAUGGAUAUAACUUUUGUUGCAAUAUGGGAAUGGAUGCAGCUCAAAUUCCUUGAACUUAGUUGCAUGAACAUAUUUAAAAUUGCUAACUUGGUGCAUAGGAUCAGGAAUACAUUAAUUCAUAUAGAUUCAUGAGAGAGAAGAAAUGUUAUACAUCUAUGGUAGGUUGGUUUAUUUUGAAAGAUUGGCCCUGAUGACACUAUGAUGAGCUUUUCUAUUUUUAUUUCUUCAUCACUAGCAUUUAGUAUCCUAAAAACAAAUUAAUUCUUGAUUUAUUUAAUCUAAUUUUGUAUAUCAUUCUACACUUUUAGAGAGAGGAACUGUGACUUAUUUGUUGAGAAUAAUGAUAGGAGUGCCACCAAUCAUAUUUCUUUACAAGAAGCAAAAGCAAGAAAUACCUAUAUGCUACCCUUGGUAAAUACCUCUUAAAUUCAAAUCCAAAACCACAUCCUUUUGGCAAGUAGAAUUGCUGGAGCAUAACCCAUUUUGCUAGGAAGCAUAGACGGCCAUACCGCCCCAAACUGUCCGAUUUGGGGCAUACUAUACCAUACUGUACUGGAUGAGAACCAGUACAAAAAUCAUAUCAUAUAGAGUUAUAUUUUGCCAAAGUGGAAAUGUACCAUCAAGAUACCUAGUAUCGAGAUUGAGGACCUUACUAGGGAAUCUGGCUUAUCAAAAAUGGAGUGCAGAGUCAAUUUCUCUUAGAAAAAAGAAAUAUAUAGUCACUUCAAUAAGACAAUGGUGACUUCCUUAUGCAACUUUCAUCUGACAUCACUUCAUGAAUGAUAGUAAUAAUUUUUGUCAUAAUAGACAUAAGCAUCUAGUUGGAUGACCUUGGCUUGGCUUCCACAAUAUUUAUAUUUGAAAUCCUUAUUGAUGACUAGAUUUAGUGAAGCAUUCAUUAUAGUAUUGUGGGGGAAAUCGUAAGAUGUAAUGACAAAGCCUUGUGAUAGGUGAUCUUUCGUGAUAUAUGGAUAUGACUAUAAAUGUUUAUAUGUUUGUUAGUUCAAAGACAUCCUUGAAGUCAUGACUCUUUUUUUUUUAAAAAAAAAACUUAAAUUCAGAGUUCAUGAAGCAAAGGGAGAAGAAAAAAAUACUUGGUUUUGAAAUUUGUAAAUUUUUGAAUAAAGAUAAUGGAAGAAAUAUGAUCUUGGAAACACUAACAUCCAGACACUGAUAAACCAACUGGAGAUCUAGUAAAAUGGAAAAUAAGCAUUUAAGGCUCAUGGUUUAUCCAUCUGUGACAAUAAGUAGUCAAUUCCUUUGAAUCUUUUUCUUGAUACCUUGUCAUGUGGCUGAGGCUUAUGCUUCCUUAUAUGCCAAAUGACAUAUUCUUGGUUUUGUCCGGUGCAAAAGAAUCAUGCAUUUCAUGCAGAUAGCUGAUUCUGAUAUCAUGGUGCAUUUAUAUUGUCCAUGAUGAGAUAGUUGGCUUUUCUUCUAGUUCUGGAACUGACAGGUCAUUUUUUCCCUCAUGACUACAUACAUUGUUCCUAAGGGAUGUAAAGAUCUGAUCUAUUUUUUGGUUGGAGCAAAUAUCUAAUCUUUAUUUGUUGGCUUACUUGGAUCUAUGGAUUUUCAUUGGCCUCCAACUCACUAGUUUCGAAAUUUUUUGACAUUUCAUGACCUGAGUUUAAUUGGUUCAAUUUGCAGGAGCCUCAGCUGUCUUCUUCGGAGAUGUUUGAUAUUUAUCGGAAGCCAUUUCUCCUGUAAUACUUUCUGCUUUAUCAAUUGAAUAUAUCAUAACAACACUAAGCAAAUUAUUACUUGCAUCAUGUGCCCUAUGUAUUGAUACUUCACCAUUUCUAUUCAACUUUACUGAAUAUUUGGAUACAUAUAGUUGUGGCUUGAUCACUUAAAGUUUGUUUCCAUGGUUGUGACAUUUGAAUUUCCUGAAAGACGGGUAUAUUUCCCACUUUUUUUUGUCCUCAUUGGAAUGAUGCUAAUGUGGUUUUAGAAAUAUAUGCACAAAGAGAGCCACACGAGCAAGAUUUUUCAACUAUUGUCUCCAUAUUGGUUAGGGUACAAUUGGGAUCUAAGAUCAAUUGGGUAAGAUUUGGAGCUCGCCGGGUUGUAAAACGUGACCUUGCUCAUGACCUGACUGAAAAAGCUGCCGACAUUUUCUUUUCUUUUUUUUUUUUUUUUUAAAUUCAAAAGCUGCCGACAUUGUUUCCUUGAUUUGUGAAGCCAUCUAUUGAAUAAAGGGGAAGUGCCCAAGAGAGCUAAUUUUUUUCUCCACUAAAGAAAUAAAUGGCCUAACUAGUGGCUGAGGGCACCAUAAAUGUUUACCAUAGGGACUAACUCCAUUAAAGAUAAAAAAGCCGAUAUGAAAGGCUUCGGUCGUGAUAAACAGAGCCCCCUCCCUACCACCUAUGAAUUGACAUUAUUAAUACCCGACAACACCAGUUAUUGAGGGCUUUUUUGCAAUGUCGGUGACCUGGAGAAUAGGGUUAGGCACUGGGUAGACAGAGCAAGAUAGCUUCAGCUUCCAUUGAGCGUUGAGAGAGAAAUCGCCAGGUUUUGGUGUUUAAGACAACUAGCUAGCUAAGUAGUGAACUCACUCUUCCUGAAGCAGAAUUUUUUGAAAUUGCUUUUUUCAGGGGCUAGAAAGACAUACUCCCGAAAAAGCGGAUAAACUUCUACCAAAAAAAAAAAAUGGAUAGGAUGAACUGGAGCUUUUUGGGAUUAAACUACCCAAAAUCCUUCAGAAAAAAAAGGAUGGAAGACCCACCGGAGAGGCACUCCACGGAAAGGGAGGGCCCAAGAGAGUAGAAAAAGUCAAAAAAGCAACUUUGCUUGCAUCUCCCAUUCCUUCAUCUCCUAUAUUUCACAUAUCAUGAUGAAGUGUACUUGAACAUCAUUGUUUAUCUUACCUUGCAUCCACAAAUCCUUCAUCACCUUUGCAUUACAUAUCAUUACGAAGUGUACUUGAACAUCCUUGUUGCAUGUCUUUUUUCAUGGGGAUGAUGCCACCUAGGUGGGGCAAAGAGUUAUAGGACAAGAAGUAGUAAUCAAAACUGAAGCACUUUAAAGAUGAGGAGUGUGUUGUGCAGGAGAAAUAAAGAGUUUAAAUUACAGUGGGAUGUAAUCCCUACUAAACCAUACAAGUAAGUUGUUCUAAAAACUAUUAAUAUAUUGACGUCCACCGCCCAUUCUGGUUUGUCCCGGAACGAACUCCAUUUCCACUAUUCAUGGGACCCAACCCCACCUAGAGGGCCAGAAAAGAAAAGGGACCAAACUGUUCCAUAUACAGCCCAUGAGUUAAUUGCAAUUAGUUAAUUAAUAAGCACGAUUAUUUAUGAUAUUAGUUAAAGCAUCGACUUAGCGACAAUGAUGCAUUUAGAAAUCCAAAUGUUGGUAACGGGCAGAUCGGAGAUAAGUAUUGGUUCCUAUUUAAUAUUAUUAUAAAGUAAAUCCUCCGGGUCUGGUCGAUUGUUUGGCUGACACCUAAGGUUUCAUUUUCCUCACCAUACCGUUCUUAAUAAUAAUAAAUAAAUAAAUAUUCUAGUAAAAAAAAUAGAUAGAGUCCCACCACACCACAUCUUGUCCUAUCUUUAUCCAACCAAUGCAUCAGGCCCACGUGUUGCGUGCUGACUGGCAAGAAGCAUGCCAAAUAAAAACAAUAUUCUAUGCUGUUCACGCUAAAAGGCUAUGUUAGGACUUAAUUUUAUCCCAUUUAACAAAAAAAAAAAAAAAAAAAAAAAAAAAGCCUAU
rnacentral:lncRNA from 1 species